rnacentral:rRNA from 1 species
UACAGAGGUCUCAAGCGUUGUUCGGAUUCAUUGGGCGUAAAGGGUGCGUAGGCGGCGCGGUAAGUCGGGUGUGAAAUCUCGGAGCUUAACUCCGAAACUGCAUUCGAUACUGCCGUGCUUGAGGACUGGAGAGGAGACUGGAAUUUACGGUGUAGCGGGUGAAAUGCGUAGAUAUCGUAAGGAAGACCAGUGGCGAAGGCGGGUCUCUGGACAGUUCCUGACGCUGAGGCACGAAGGUCAGGGGAGCAAACGGG